UUGGGGUGUAGCCAAGCGGUAAGGCAGCGGACUUUGACUCCGCCACUCGCAGGUUCGAAUCCUCCCACCCCAGA
rnacentral:tRNA from 2 species